rnacentral:rRNA from 1 species
CCUACGGGAGGCAGCAGUAGGGAAUCUUCCACAAUGGGCGAAAGCCUGAUGGAGCAACGCCGCGUGGGUGAAGAAGGUCUUCGGAUCGUAAAACCCUGUUGUCAGAGAAGAAAGUGCGUGAGAGUAACUGUUCACGUUUCGACGGUAUCUAACCAGAAAGCCACGGCUAACUACGUGCCAGCAGCCGCGGUAAUACGUAGGUGGCAAGCGUUAUCCGGAUUUACUGGGCGUAAAGGGAACGCAGGCGGUCUUUUAAGUCUGAUGUGAAAGCCUUCGGCUUAACCGGGGUAGUGCAUUGGAAACUGGGAGACUUGAGUGCAGAAGAGGAGAGUGGAACUCCAUGUGUAGCGGUGAAAUGCGUAGAUAUAUGGAGGAACACCAGUGGCGAAAGCGACUCUCUGGUCUGUAACUGACGCUGAGGUUCGAAAGCGUGGGUAGCAAACAGGAUUAGAUACCCUGGUAGUC